rnacentral:rRNA from 1 species
AUGCGUAUGUUGAGAUGGAUGUGUGGCCACACGAGGAAGGAUCGAGUCCGGAAUGAUGAUAUACGAGAUAGAGUUGGGGUAGCACCAAUUGAGGAGAAGCUUGUCCAACAUUGUUUGAGAUGGUUUGGGCAUAUUCAGUGCAGGCCUCUAGAAGCUCCAGUGCAUAGCGGAUGGCUAAAGCGUGCGGAGAAUGUCAAGAGAGGGCGGGGUCGACCGAUUUUGACAUGGGAGGAGUCCGUUAAGAGAGACCUAAAGGAUUGGAGUAUCGACAAAGAGCUAGCUAUGGACAGGGGUGCGUGGAAGCUUGCUAUCCAUGUGCCAGAGCCAUGA